UUUUGAUCUUUGAUCGUGACAAAAGGAUACGAAUCACUUCAGAAAUAAUGCGAUAUUAGUUUGAAAUGGAUGACACGUAUGAAAUCCUUUGAAUCAAGACAGACAUCGGGAUUAAACGCCGAUUUGCUUUAGGAAACUAUUGUGUUCAAGGAUGAUAUUUUUCGACAUCGAUAAUUUUUAUAUCGAUAAUUUUUGUUACAAUCGCCCUAUGAGUGACUUGAGUCUCCGGACGGGGUGGCAUUAAACAAGCAACACAAUUUUUAGCCUAACGCUCCGCAAACGGCAGUAGGUCUGUCGCGGGUUAGCACGGAUAGGAAGAUCGAACACGUUGAAUUUUGUAUUUGAACUGAACUGUCCUACCGGCCUAUAGAAUCGCCAGAUGUCCAAGUCCCCACAGCUUACUUUACUGCAGGAACGUGUGUUUCAUUGAUAUUCUUCGUAUCGCGUUACGACUUCUCAAAUUAGUUAUAAAGCGCUUUCUAUUUUCGAAAUUUGCAAAUCUGAAGUGUGAUUCGAACGGUCGGAAAGGCAAUUGUACUUGUCAAUGUUUCUUUGUGACAGAUGUAUAUAUUAAUGAUAUUUUGUGAAAUUUUAGUAACAAUUCGAUAAAGAAACGCUUUUAAAAGACCAACAAAAGUUCAUCAAAAUUACGAGCGAAUAUAGUGAAAAGAAAAAAUUUAUCAGAUAGUAAUAUGAAACAGUUGGACUUUUAUUAUGUAUCAUUUAUUCAUUCCGUUGCUUGUAUACAUCCUUGACUAUUACCGUUCAACCUUCCUAACGAUUAUACAUGAUGGAAACGAUGACAAACUUGAUAUUAAAUAAGGACAAAAGGUCUUAAACAUGUUAAAUGCCACGUCGAAAAUAUCUGGUCACGUUGCAUUAUGCGCUGAGGUGUGCAAUCAAAUGUUAAACGGCCUGCAUCUGUUAAAGUAAAUGAGAGAGAUAAAUCGUGCAUAUGCACGCAUAGAUUUAUUCGAUUCACUCAUUAGACGCUGGCUCUUUGGCCACGUGUAUUAAUUAGUGUAAAUGAAAACGAGAAUAAAGCAGAAACCGCAGAAUCCAAUAUACGUAACAAGAUUUUGUGAUGUCGUCGUUCGUUGCAUCAAAGAAAUAAUACGUGGACUGCAUUUUCAUACGAGUUGAAGAUUGUUUGGACUGCAUAAUAAUAAUUAGGAGAAAGCAUUCUUGAAAAAUAUCUCAACUGGCUGAGUUCUAAAUUUGAAAUUUUAGCGAUUAAUAGCUAUCUCAAAUCCGAUUGUCUGCUCUGUCAUUCAUUUAGCGAAUGUAGACCGUAAUUUUAGCUGAAACAUGAUUCUGUCACUCUAAUCACCGAUACCACUAGAGUGUGUAACUUGCAACCGUUACCUAUAUAAAUUGGUUCGUGUUUUUGUUUCCCUAUAAGGGACAUUAAAGAUAAUUCGCAAAUUGCGCGAAACACCUCGUAUAAGUCUACGCAUAGACCGAGCCAAGUUCAAUCGAGUGGAAGUGACCAGAAACCCGUAAGACAUAGUGUGAAAUAAUGUGGGAAUAACGUUGGACCCCAGUGCAGCUGCUGGCCACUGCACAAGAUUAGAGAUAACACUCUUGUGCGUGUGACAGCAACUAUAAUGGGGCUUCUAUGGCACAUCACACUUCGACAUUGGGAAUCUAUCACGAGAAGCGCAAGAGAAAAGUAUGAAGGUAUUGUAAUUACUCGUCGUCGUGGAAAAUGUAUUGCUUAAUUCUCUUUGAAAGCGUCAGGAAGCAAUUGUAAUAAGACGACUGAAAUAUGUAUAUGCGUAAAACUAGACGUUAAUUUUAAUUAAAAUAUAUUCUAUGUUUACAAAAUGGA